GAUCAUGGCUCAGGAUGAACGCUAGCUACAGGCUUAACACAUGCAAGUCGAGGGGCAUCAGUUUGGUUUGCUCGCAAACCAAAGCUGGCGACCGGCGCACGGGUGAGUAACACGUAUCCAACCUACCUCAUACUCGGGGAUAGCCUUUCGAAAGAAAGAUUAAUAUCCGAUAGCAUAUAUUUCCCGCAUGGGUUUUAUAUUAAAGAAAUUCGGUAUGAGAUGGGGAUGCGUUCCAUUAGUUUGUUGGGGGGG
rnacentral:rRNA from 1 species